rnacentral:RNase_P_RNA from 1 species
GGGUAUGCGGCCGCUGCCGUCAGGACCGAAAGGGGACGGGAGAGGAAAGUCCGGGCUUCACAGGGCAGGAUGCCGGAUAACGUCCGGCAGGGGAAACCCUCGGGAUAGCGCAACAGAAAUAAACCGCCGGCCUCGGCCGGCAAGGGUGGAAAGGCGGUGUAAGAGACCACCGCUUCGCUGGCAACAGGGAAGGCACAUGCAAGCCCCAUCCGAAGCAAGACCGAGCAGAAGCGAUACGGCUGCCCGCCGUGCUUCAGGCAGGUCGCUUGAGCCAUCCGGCAACGGGUGGUCUAGAUAGAUGGCCGCACACGACAUAACCCGGCUUACAGCCCCGCCU